UACGGGGGGGCAAGCGUUGUUCGGAAUUACUGGGCGUAAAGGGCUCGUAGGCGGCCAACUAAGUCAGACGUGAAAUCCCUCGGCUUAACCGGGGAACUGCGUCUGAUACUGGUAUGGCUUGAGUUCGGGAGAGGGAUGCGGAAUUCCAGGUGUAGCGGAUGAAAUGCGUAGAUAUCUGGAGGAACACCGGUGGCGAAGGCGGCAUCCUGGACCAACACUGACGCUGAUGAGCGAAAGCCAGGGG
rnacentral:rRNA from 1 species